GUAGCGAAAGUUGCGCUAAUACCGCAUAUUCUGUGAGCAGGAAAGCAGGGGACCGCAAGGCCUUGCGCUCUUUGAGCGGCCGAUGUCAGAUUAGCUAGUUGGUGAGGUAAAGGCUUACCAAGGCGACGAUCUGUAGCGGGUCUGAGAGGAUGAUCCGCCACACUGGAACUGAGACACGGUCCAGACUCCUACGGGAGGCAGCAGUGGGGAAUUUUGGACAAUGGGGGCAACCCUGAUCCAGCCAUGCCGCGUGAGUGAAGAAGGCCUUCGGGUUGUAAAGCUCUUUCGGCCGGGAAGAAAUCGCAUGGGCCAAUACCCUGUGUGGAUGACGGUACCGGAAUAAGAAGCACCGGCUAACUACGUGCCAGCAGCCGCGGUAAUACGUAGGGUGCGAGCGUUAAUCGGAAUUACUGGGCGUAAAGCGUGCGCAGGCGGUUUUGUAAGACAGGCGUGAAAUCCCCGGGCUUAACCUGGGAACUGCGUUUGUGACUGCAAGGCUAGAGUACGGCAGAGGGGGGUGGAAUUCCACGUGUAGCAGUGAAAUGCGUAGAGAUGUGGAGGAACACCAAUGGCGAAGGCAGCCCCCUGGGUCGAUACUGACGCUCAUGCACGAAAGCGUGGGUAGCAAACAGGAUUAGAUACCCUGGUAGUCCACGCCCUAAACUAUGUCAACUAGGUGUGGGGUGGGUAAAACCAUUUAGUACCGUAGCUAACGCGUGAAGUUGACCGCCUGGGGAGUACGGCCGCAAGGUUAAAACUCAAAGGAAUUGACGGGGACCCGCACAAGCGGUGGAUGAUGUGGAUUAAUUCGAUGCAACGCGAAAAGCCUUACCUACCCUUGACAUGCCAGGAACUUGCCAGAGAUGGCUUGGUGCCCGAAAGGGAGCCUGGACACAGGUGCUGCAUGGCUGUCGUCAGCUCGUGUCGUGAGAUGUUGGGUUAAGUCCCGCAACGAGCGCAACCCUUGUCGUUAAUUGCCAUCAUUUAGUUGGGCACUUUAACGAGACUGCCGGUGACAAACCGGAGGAAGGUGGGGAUGACGUCAAGUCCUCAUGGCCCUUAUGGGUAGGGCUUCACACGUCAUACAAUGGUCGGUACAAAGGGUUGCCAAGCCGCGAGGCGGAGCCAAUCCCAGAAAGCCGAUCGUAGUCCGGAUUGCAGGCUGCAACUCGCCUGCAUGAAGUCGGAAUCGCUAGUAAUCGUGGAUCAGCAUGUCACGGUGAAUACGUUCCCGGGUCUUGUACACACCGCCCGUCACACCAUGGGAGCGGGUUCCGCCAGAAGUAGGUAGCCUAACCGCAAGGGGGGCGCUUACCA
rnacentral:rRNA from 1 species